rnacentral:rRNA from 1 species
CCUACGGGAGGCAGCAGUGAGGAAUAUUGGUCAAUGGACGAGAGUCUGAACCAGCCAAGUAGCGUGAAGGAUGACUGCCCUAUGGGUUGUAAACUUCUUUUAUAUGGGAAUAAAAUGUUCCACGUGUGGGAUUUUGUAUGUACCAUAUGAAUAAGGAUCGGCUAACUCCGUGCCAGCAGCCGCGGUAAUACGGAGGCUCCGAGCGUUAUCCGGAUUUAUUGGGUUUAAAGGGAGCGUAGGUGGAUUGUUAAGUCAGUUGUGAAAGUUUGCGGCUCAACCGUAAAAUUGCAGUUGAAACUGGCAGUCUUGAGUACAGUAGAGGUGGGCGGAAUUCGUGGUGUAGCGGUGAAAUGCUUAGAUAUCACGAAGAACUCCGAUUGCGAAGGCAGUUCACUGGACUGCAACUGACACCGAGGCUCGAAAGUGUGGGUAUCAAACAGGAUUAGAUACCCGAGUAGUC